UUUAAUAUGGCAGACUAAGUGCAAUGGAUUUAAACCCCAUAAAUAAAGUUAUUUCAUUCUUUUAUUAAAA
rnacentral:tRNA from 1 species